UGCAAGUGAUGUUUCUUUCACGAUGGUCUUCCUAGCCUGCAGGGUUUUGGCGACGACGCCUUUUGGCAAAGCUGAUGCGAUUAG
ensembl:snoRNA